AACUGCUUCUACAGCUCGAAGGGCGCUCUUCUGUAUCGACACGGCGGUCUGCAAGCCAAAAUGUGGGGGAAAUGGCGGUGCCAAAAACGUCCAGGGCAUCACCACACCGACAAGAAUUUACCUGAAUUUCGGCGGCCUCAAACAUAACGUUAACUUAAUAUUCCGGCGCGGCGAGAAGACCCGCAAUGUAAAGGGAAUGGAGGUGCUAAACCUCCACACCCCAGGGCAUCACUACACCGAGAAGAAUUUGAGGGCUGCUCAAACCUAGCUAACGUUGAUUUUAUGACGAGGAGACCCACAGUAUAAAGGACUACACGUGAAUACGUCCUAACUAGAAAAGACACGCAAAGAGAAGGUCGGCCUGUGCCAGAAAUAUGACAAGGAUGCAAGAAGCAGGGAAGGAGACAUCUCUCAGCAUCAUCCAGGACCUUAUUGUUGCCAAAAACUACACCUCUCACGGGAAAGGGCUUUAAGGGAUGAAAAAAGGUUUGUGAUGUGCAUUAAGUAGCUUUUGGUACCAAACUUAGAAUUCCCUCUGUGUAUCUGAGACAUUUUCGACAGGGAUAAUCAAGUUUCUUGGUUGUUGGCAAGGUGUUUGAGUUUGAUUUGGUGACAUCCUGAGUGACAUUGCUGGUUGGGGGUUGGGCCAUUUUGAGGGUUUUGGCUCCUUUUGCACGCAUGGCUUUAGUCUUUCUGUGGGAUACAGGUCCGAUGUAUGGUUGAUUUGGUUUCUGUGACCAUGUCGGUGGCUGGGAUUGUGUUUGGAGUUGCUGCAAAGUUCAGUCCUCUAGAAAACGGAGACUUCCUUAAGUUCUGUUAGCCCAUGAU